UUACCAGAGCACCUCGGGCCU
rnacentral:piRNA from 1 species